UGGGGAAUAUUGGACAAUGGGCGCAAGCCUGAUCCAGCAAUGCCGCGUGAGUGAUGAAGGCCUUAGGGUUGUAAAGCUCUUUCGCACGCGACGAUGAUGACGGUAGCGUGAGAAGAAGCCCCGGCUAACUUCGUGCCAGCAGCCGCGGUAAUACGAAGGGGGCUAGCGUUGUUCGGAAUUACUGGGCGUAAAGGGCGCGUAGGCGGCCUGUUUAGUCAGAAGUGAAAGCCCCGGGCUCAACCUGGGAAUAGCUUUUGAUACUGGCAGGCUUGAGUUCCGGAGAGGAUGGUGGAAUUCCCAGUGUAGAGGUGAAAUUCGUAGAUAUUGGGAAGAACACCGGUGGCGAAGGCGGCCAUCUGGACGGACACUGACGCUGAGGCGCGAAAGCGUGGGGAGCAAACAG
rnacentral:rRNA from 1 species